rnacentral:rRNA from 1 species
UACGUAGGGGGCAAGCGUUGUCCGGAAUCAUUGGGCGUAAAGCGCGUGUAGGCGGCUCGAUAAGUCUGCUGUGAAAGUCCAGGCUCAACCCUGGGAUGCCGGUGGAUACUGUCGAGCUCGAGUCCGGAAGAGGCGAGUGGAAUUCCUGGUGUAGCGGUGAAAUGCGCAGAUAUCAGGAGGAACACCAAUGGCGAAGGCAGCUCGCUGGGACGGUACUGACGCUGAGACACGAAAGCGUGGGGAGCAAACAGG